GCCAUUUCACCAUUGUAAGUCGUCAAGUGCGCUCGUCUUUAAUUGAAUGUUGGGCUAAAAAGACACAUUAGGUAAAAAAUAUGAUAAGAAACAACUAGGUACUAUAUAGUGCUUUAUUUAGCAAGAAAGCUUUCAUAGCUCUUUUUCAUCAAAUACUUCAAUGCAAUAAAGAUAAAGGUAACAAACCUUCAAUCCUAGAUUCAUGAUACACUUGUAACAUGCGUAUAUUAAGAGUUAAACCACUCAAUAUCCACAUUCAUGGCUGCAAAUAUAGAACAUUUAUGACAGAAGAGAUGACAAGACAAUAUGAACAAUAGGCAAAAACAUGUAAGUUGGGUUUUUUUAUCAGGUUUCAGACAUUGAUUGGCAACAUUAUAUAUGUUACAUUUGCUAUCAUCAGCUGUAGGUGUUCUAAUUAAUAACCUAACAUAGGAAGAAACAAAAAAAAUACAACAACAAUAACAACAUACACAAUGUAUUUCUGCAAAGUGACGUCUGGGAGAGUAAAAUGUGCACAGUCCAUACCCACUCUAAGAUGAAAAACAAAAAUACACACAGAAAAAAAUGUGAAUAAAGAGAAAAGAGAAACCAUCAGGGAAAUGAACUUGACGAGGCACAUACCUGCAGUUUCAACAAUACUAAAAGCAGUUAAAAAUCUGCAAUUUAACAUGUAAAUCAGAAAAAUAUUCAAAAUCUCAGUUAGUACAAUGCGGUCGGAUGAAAAAUCCCAAUAACUGCAGAUUUAAAAGUCGAUGAAAAAUAUGAAAGAGAUUUUACAAAGAAGUAUAAUUUGUACUGAAAAUCAAAAACGAAGAAAAAGAUGGAAGAAGUAUAAGCAAAAAUCGAUAAUCGAAUAAGGUGGGAAGUU
rnacentral:lncRNA from 1 species